rnacentral:hammerhead_ribozyme from 1 species
AUCCAGCUGACGAAUACCAAAUAGGAGGAAAUGCGCGUCCAGGAU